AUUUUAUUUUACUUUUUUGGUGGGGAGGGUAAGGUUAGUAAUGUGAAAGGUAUGGUUUUUGUCCAGGCUUCUCUUCUUCCCUAUUUCUCAAAAUAACCCUUUAGUUUAUUUGGUUUUCUGUCUCUACGUUAUAUUUUCUAGAAUAUAUAUAUAUAUAUACACACACACACACACACACAUAUAUAUACAUAUAUAUAUACACACACACAUAUAUAGUGGGAUUGGUGGACCCAAGUGUAUACAUUUUAAUUCUUAAUUCUACAUCUAGCCUUUUAUUUACUCUGAGACAUAUUCUUGCUCUGUUGCCCAGGCUGGACUCAAACUCAAAAUUCUCCUGCCUCCGUCUCUGGAGUGAUGGAUCACAGUUGUAUGCUGCCACUGUUUGCACUCUAACUGUGUAGUUGUUAAGCUGCUUAUUGGUAUGCUGGUGUCUGACUGCUCAUUUCCUGGACACAGUGCUGUUAUAAUUAGCUGUAGUUCCUGUUGCUCUUUAAUCCUGGUAGCUUAAUUCUAACUUGCUAUUUUUCCGUCAGAGAAGGCACAAGACUAGUUUCCAGUAUAGAACUGUAUUUACUUCCAAUCAGGUCAAAUAUAUAUAUAUUUGUUUGUUUGUUUGUUUGUUUUGUUUUGUUUUGUUUGUUUGUUUUUGAGACAGGGUUUCUCUGUAUAGCCCUGGCUGUCCUGGAACUCACUCUGUAGACCAGACUGACCUCGAACUCAGAAAUCCACCUGCCUCUGCCUCCUGAGUGCUGGGAUUAAAGGCGUGCGCCACCAUGCCCGGCGGGUCAAAUAUUUAAAACUACCUCUUUUUGAAUGAUUAUUGAUGAAUUGUGAAUUAUGCUGCUAGUCCUGCGGUCCCUUCAUGAGGGUCCUCCCCAUGAGGCACCUCACAGGUACAGGGCCCAGCCAAGAGGCCAAAUGAUUGCCUAAAGUGUGCUUUCAUUCUCCAAAUAAUUCACCUCAUCCAAAAUCCCACUUCCUAUAUUUUCUAAACCACGGCCACGUUGUGUGCAUCCGUUCUAUGGUUCGUUUGAUUGCUUUGACAAGCUCAGGACCUAGCAUCCCAAAGCUAACAGAACCCAACCGUUAGGAUAUUCUGAAUGGAAGGUCACUUGUGCUGAUGGCUUUUAUUUUCCUCCCACCCCCAUUUGGUUGGGAUUGUAGCUCUUGAUACCGCACCCCCAACACACACACAGACACCCGGACCAUAGCUAACACAGAGGUAAAGGAGCUGAAACACGUUUUUCUCUGUGUGACACACUGGAAAACUGAUGAAGCUCCAAAGCUUGAUAGGGAUUUUGAUAUCAGAUGUAUUAUCCUGGGUCAUGUUCGUGAGACUGGCUCAGACUCUGCAUUUGACUUUGAGUCGAACCACAGAGUGGCCCAGAGUGACUCUCUGCUUCUAGCCAGCCUGUCUGACACACUGGCUGGCCCUCCUCACCACAAUCUGACCUCAUGCUGGUGAGGGGAAUUUUUACCUGGCUGGCCCCCAGGACAGGGCAUGGGCCAUGGCAGCAUCCUGUCGCAGUUCUGUUGUUCAGAGGUGGAUCCCACUGCAGGAAACUAGAGUUUCCCAUCAAUGUCUUUCUUCUCAGUUUUAUGGAAAUAACCUUUCCUUAAUGGAACUGUAAUCCUACAAGGACAGGUGGGACCAUGUACUCUUGCUCUCCUGUGGGUCUCACAGUAACAGGGCGGCUGAAGGCAUGGCUGUGGUUGCCUUUGCCUUCCUUUAGAGCAGGCUUCCAGGAAAGCACUGUGAGUAAGCAGCAGGUAACAGUUCCUACUUGGUGUUUGAGAUCUGAAGAUAACGUGGCAAGCAAGAGGCUAAGCCAGUUCCUUUCUUAGUUUAGAGAGACAUUUCUUGACUCUGCCUCCAGGUGACCUCCUCUAGGUCUGAUAACAACCAGCCUUUGGGGUUUGAGAACAUUCUUGUUUUUUGUUUUUGGCAACUUGAAAAAAGUACCCAGAGCCUUUGCAUGUUAAGCAAGAACUCUUCUGCCUAGACAAGCAACUGUGCAACACACACAGACACAAGCAAGCAGCUCAACCUAAGCAUGCUGCAUUCCAAAUGCCUUUAAGAAGCCCACAAGUUGGGAACAUACCAGAGGAAUGACUGAACUGCGUUAGAAUUGCAUGUUAGUCUACGUGAUGGAAGAAGGCAUGGAGUCUUCUCUAAUAAAACUGCUCAUGGAAGACUUUGCAUGAAUUCCAGGCUUCCAGAGGGUUCAAACCAGCAACCCAAGGUGGAUUUGGUUCCUGGGGAUGACAUAUUUAGGUAAAGAGAGCUUAAGAAUCAGUCUCUGAAAGUGUAAUUUACAGAAAGUGUUCUGGGACUGCUGUUGGUUCAGCCUGUUCACUCUCACUCUGUUCACUCUGGCCUGAUGCUCAUGAAGAGUUGACCUUUACCUUAGUCUCAGUUGCUGCUUUUACUUGGUAUCCUGCUGUGUCUACAUCCUUGCUGCUUCUAACUUGUCUGCUUUCAACACUGUUCGCCUUUAAAAUUCAUUCCUUUUCAUUUCCUGUCUGAUAGAGUAUAUGGUUCAGUAGAUGGCUGUAAAGCUGAGGGCUCUGCAUUCUGGGAGACCCUGCUCAUGUGUGCUGCUUCUGUGUGUUCUCUGCCAGUGGGCAGAGCACCCAGGCUCUCUGAGCCUGCUGGUUGGGUCUGAAUGAUAUCUAUUGAUAGAAGCUUUAAGGCAGUGUACAUAUAGUUCCACUCAAAAACCCAGUGCAGUGCCUGGCAUAUGGGUGACAUUUAGCAGUACUGUGAAUGAUGGUGGGGAUAGCCCAGUGCUGGAUUCAUGGGCAUAAACCCUUAUGUGUCAUCCCAUAACACUAAGAAUUGGUGAGACACGACUGUACAGACGAGGAAAGUAAGGUUUAUUUGCCUGUUCUCCUCUCUUCAAGUUACUGAAAACAUGGCUUAUGGCUAGAUAAGCCUCAUGGCUAGAUCACUGCUAAAGAGUCCUGACAACCAAAUUAAAUUAUUCUUGCCAAAACACAAAAUACAGAUAUCCAUGUGAAUGUAAUACAUUCCCUUACAUAUUUUAAUCCAGCGUUAUCUCGGAAGCAGUGUGCAUAAGUAGAGAACAGUAUUGAAUCUAUAUUGUAUUCUUUGACUGUACUUAUUUUUUUUUAUUUGGGAUAAGGUCUUACCAUAUAACCCCAGCUGGCCUUGAACUUACCAUAUAGACCAGUCUGGCCUUGAACUCACAGAGAUUUGCCUGCCUCAGCCUCCUCCAACUCUGAGAUUAAAGGCCAAACUUGCCACCAUUCCUGGCUUGUAAGUUACUUCUUAAGUGUUGUUACUAAAAUUUUUAAAUUUAAGGUUAUGGUGUAGGAUAGUUUAUCUUGGAUGCAUGACAUAUUUAAAAAUAUUUAUAUAUUCUCUUAAUAGUUUUUAGAAGGUAUACCGGACUCCAAAAUAUAACUGCUUAUUUAAAUAUAAAAACAGAUUUAUUGUUCCAUAAGCUUAAAAAUUAAAGUCUCAGGAAAAGAUACCAAACUUGGCUUUUACCUAUUUAUCUCAUUUAUACCCAGAAUAUUCACUGGCCAGCAAACUCUGUAGAGCAGUGAUUCUCAACCUGUGGGUCACAACCUAUCCUGCUUAUCAGAUAGUUACAUUAUGAAUUGUAACAGCAGCAAAAUCACAGUUACGCAAUAUCAACAAAAUAAUUUUAUGGUUGAGGGUCACCAUAACGUGAGGAACUGCAUUAAAGGGUCACAGAUUUAGGCAGGUUGAGAGCUAUAGCCACAUAGAGCCUUUACAGGGUUCAUUCUCGUUGUUUCUAUAGAAAACGUUUAUAUUAGAUAACUUUCUCACAGACUUGGUUAUAUUUCCAAGAGAUAGCUGUUUUAUAAUCCCUACUCUAAAACAAUUAAGAUUUUUCUAGAAAGUUGAUUAUUCACGUGUAAAGAGAUAAAAUUCUAGGAUAUUUCAUUUGUAUAUGC
rnacentral:lncRNA from 1 species